UACGAAGGGGGCUAGCGUUGCUCGGAAUCACUGGGCGUAAAGCGCACGUAGGCGGAUUUCUAAGUCAGGGGUGAAAUCCUGGAGCUCAACUCCAGAACUGCCUUUGAUACUGGGAAUCUCGAGUCCGGGAGAGGUGAGUGGAACUGCGAGUGUAGAGGUGAAAUUCGUAGAUAUUCGCAAGAACACCAGUGGCGAAGGCGGCUCACUGGUCCGGUACUGACGCUGAGGUGCGAAAGCGUGGGGAGCAAACAGG
rnacentral:rRNA from 1 species